AGACGGCGUCGCCAGCUGCCCAGGCAGUUCCUAUCCCUUUCGGAGCUCCAGCCUGCCCCUCCUGACGCUCUCAGAGUCUGGCCUUCUGCUGGGCCCCGGGUCUCUCACUGGCAGAAUGGAGUUCUCGGAGCUGAUCCAUACGGGCUGAGCCCAAGCAGAGUUUCUACGGGGCCCGGAGGCGCCCCCGCUUCGCGGCACGGUGUGAGUCACCGUCCACCACCUGCUCCUGUCGCCAGGGCCCGCGUCCUCUCCGGACCUGUGGCUGCUGCUGUUGCGUAGCGUCGACUCCUUCGAGAAGCAGUGAGACGUGGCGGGGUGGGGGAGGGUCCCCGGGGUUGGGGAGCGCGCGGCUUGGCGGAGUAGGGGGCACGGCCAGCGCAGUCAGAGCUGGCGCCCUCCUGCGUAAGCCCAAUCCGGGAAACUCGUUGCCCCUCUCCUGGGAAAGGAACGUCCCUCCCCAGGGUUGCGAGUGACUCGGGCACCAUCACCCUGUGCUGUAAAGACCUGCGAGUGCUGCAGCUGGAAAUAGAGGGCGCGGAAGCGACGCUGGGCAUCGCCCGCUCCAUCGAGACCAACGCGUGGCGGCUGAGCGAGGGUCCCAAACCACUUUGGCCACAACACCCCCAGACUGGUCCGAAGCCUCGUGAGUUCGCCCUGGUCGUUGCACUCCAGCCUGUCGCUGUGCAGACCUGGCUUAGAGGACCCCUAAGGCUGAGGGGUCACUUCCAGAACUGAGUCCGGUCCGCAGGUUCUGCUACGCUCCAGCCAGCCCCUAACUGGUCCCCAGAAGCGGCGCUGCUACAGGGACCAGGAGCUGCUGCGAACUGCGCUGGCGGGGGCUCGUCCUUGGGCGCGGGGCUUCAUCAUGGACACGCUCUCGGCCCAGGCCGCGAAACAAGCCCGCGUGACUGGCGGAGGCACAGAGACCAAGGCCGCUUAACCUGGCUGGUUGCACUGGUCCCUGGAGAGCACUGAGCACAGGGGCUGCCACAGUGGCCGGCUCAGACAUGGCAGAGAUCAGCAGAGAAUGGGCAAUCAGGCUCCCCUGAGAUGAGCAGCAGCGCAGAGGAGGUGCCCCUCUCUUACUACACCAACUUCAGAGGGCGUCCCCUGCAGGAGAGCUUCAUGCGCCUGGUGGAGGCCUGUGGGGACUCGGAGCAAAGCAUGGACAACUGGCUGAGUCGGCUGGACGGCUGCCGCUGACUGUAACAUGUAAAGCAGGCACUGAGCACCACCUGCCUGGCAGUCCAGGGCAUGGAGAGGCACAGACAGCACCCUGCUUGUGACUUCACUGGCCCAACUCAUCCUGGACCCCUUGAGCAAGACCAUGGCUGGAUUCCAGGAACUGGUGGAGUGGAAGUGGAUCCAGGAAAAUGCCGUGUGAAGGGAGGACUCAGAUGCACUCCCUGUGGUCUGGGCUCAACCAGCCAAAAGAGCAACAAAGACUCCAGAACCCACUCUACCUCCUCAAUCCCUUGGCCAUCUGUGGAGCCCCAGAGCCUGCGGCUGUGGCAAGGCCUGUUUCUGCGCUGGACCUGCUCACCUGAGCCUGCAGAAGCUGCAUGGGGGAAGAGUGUGGCAAAUAGUGACAGGAAGGGAGAAGACAGAAGCCUCUCAGCCAACUGCUUCAGCCGAGCCCCUAUUCUAAGCACUGGCUCCUUGGAUAGCAGCUGAGAUGUUCCUGAAACCUCUGCAGGCCCCUUAGGACCUUUACACCUUGGAUGAGGGUGCCUGCAACCCAGGUUAGCCAAAAGUACUGAGGGUCUUAAGUUUGAAGUGUCCAAAGUAUAGGGAGGUCUCAAUAAUAAAAGUCUCCAUGAUCAGCA
ensembl:lncRNA novel transcript